rnacentral:lncRNA from 1 species
GAGUUGUCUUCCCCAAAUUUCACAGCUGUAAAACCUAUUCCAGAGUUCUGACCAAUAUGUUGACCACCAGAUUGACCACGAUGAAAAACUUGUUGAUUAGAUGAUUCCUCAAUUCUUUGCCACAGAUUUGAAGAUGAAACAGUACCUCUUGCCAAAUGAACUAGAGAAGAAGACAUAUUUGCAGUAAGAAAGGCUGAAACAUAUGCAUCUGAACGAUUCCAUUUCUCUCUGGCUUCUUCUUCACCUGGUGGUUUGAAAUUUCGAUUCAAGAACUGUAAUAUGCCUAAAGUUUUCAGAAUUGUGAUAAUCUGAUGUUGCCAGUUGAGAAAAUUCUCAUUAUCAAGUUUAAACAGCAUAAAAUUCGUGAUAUUAGGUAAGCUGUUGUGAUUUGAUGAUGUAACAUCAUUCAUGAAUGAUGAUGUUGGAGAUUGAGUGGCUGAAUUUGAUUUAUUAGUCAUGAAACUGAAACUGAAAUUGAGAUUUGAGAUUUGAAGAAUGAAAUCUGAGAAGAGUGAUAUGAGAUGAAGAAUGAAGAAAAGGAAAAGAACAGAUCGAAAAAGAGAAGAAUCUAAGAGACUGAAGCAGAUUCACCGGAAAUUCACCUGAGAAGAUGACCGGUGAUGCAGUGGUUACCGGAAAUCAGAUCAGAAAGGCAACAAAUUUUGCUUUAGAGCAUAGUUCUGAUACUAUGUAAUAAAGUAUCAAGCUCAAUAAUCUCAUCUCAUAUCAUAAUCAAAAGUCAAUACAAUACAAUCCUCUCUAAAUAUAUAUAGAGGAGAAUGGAAACAAACUAUAACUAUCUAAACAAACUGGAUAACUAACUACUAACAAGAUAACUAACUGCUCCUGUAAUAUACACUCUAAUACUACCCAAUAAUUUGAAUUUAACGAAACCAUUGGCACCGAACUUUUGACAUUUGAUAAACAGUUUCCAAAUUGUUAAUCUCUUACGCGGUGCUGGAUCAGAAAACACUCUAUAACCUUUUCGUUCACUCAAACUCUCUAAAUUUCUCAAAUUGUUAAUCUCUCACGCAGUGCUGAAACCAGUCGGACAUUAACUCCGACAACUCUUUUCAUUCAUUAAUCCGAAGUUCUUGUAGGUAUUUUUUAUAUAAUUCUGUUCGGAUUUAGGCAAAGAACAAAAGCCCUCUGCGCAUCCUUCUCCAUGGCUGGUGGUGGAGAGAUACCGGGGAGAGCUUGAGGAGGUGGCAGAUCGCCAUGGCUGAUGAUGGUUGUCAGUGGUGUGGGUUGGAAGCAGGGGUGGAACUAAUGUAUUAA